UUUAAGUGUAACCAUGAGUUUUUUAUCCAACUUUAGUCAUCCAUCUUAUUUAAAAUUUUUUUAUAAUUCGUAUUUUUGUUAUUAUGAGAUGAUAAACAUGAAUAAUAUUUUAUACGUGUCUUAUGUUUUUAAAUUUUUUUUAAAUUUUUUAAAUAAGAUAGACGAUUAAAGUAAAACGCGAACUUAUGACUGCACUUGAA
rfam:Oryza glaberrima chromosome 3 Oglab03_unplaced058_2, whole genome shotgun sequence.